rnacentral:lncRNA from 1 species
GGGACCAACACGCGAUAACAAUCCACUAAGAAUAAAAGAUUACAAGGUGAUUUACCGAAUCCACGGACUCAAACCUCUCUUUUAUCUUCUCCGGAUCUCGCGCACACCGUCGGGUUGUCCACGCCCCACGUUCGUUUCCACGAACGCCACGUCCCGAAUUCACGAAACGUCCACACUUCGAAUCCAUAAAGCCUUGAUCACGCCGAAUCCAUGACACCCACUCGAAUCCACGAGCACACUCCGUCCGGAGCAAGAACAAUAUGAUCGAUGAUGAUUUAUUACUUAGAUAAUCAUGAAAGAGCCGUAUAAGAUAUUUCUAAACAAUAGCCAGAUCAAUUCUCCAUGAAGAACAAGAAAUUAGGGUUUCAAG